CAAGGAGGCAAGUUAACUCCAGAGGAGGUGCUCGGCUGCGGGCAGGCAUGUGUGCUUUCUGGAACUGCAUGGCACACACACUUUCCAAGAUUGCUUUGAGCAUUGGAAACCAUUGCAAAAAGAGACGUCUGCCCAGAACAUUUUUGGAAGGAUAAAGUUGGAAGAAACCAAGAGGUAGGAUGGAGCAGAAGGCUUUGAGCUGCACACCUUAUUAUUAUUAUUACUAU
rnacentral:lncRNA from 11 species